rnacentral:lncRNA from 1 species
CCCCCUCCUUGAUCUCUCUUCUAUCUCUUCUAUUAUGAAGGUGUUUGGUUGAGGAGAGUGGGGGAAUUGAAAUGGAUGACUCUCGUUCCAACUGUUUGGUUGGAAGGAGUCCUAUUCUGAUUCUGAUUUCAGAGUGGAAUGAAAAUGGCUCAAUCUAUAUAGAACUCAAUUCCUACUCUCCUCUAUGAAUUCAAUUUUUUAUUUCAAUUUUGAUUCCGAUCAUGAACCAAACGUUUCAGAAGAUUUAACCAUUCCGAUUCCGAUUCUAAGCCAUUUUGAUUUUUAUUUCUAUUUUAAUUUUGAUUGC